UGCUCAAAAUGCAGGAAAUAGCAUUUCCGGGUCUCAAGUUUCAAAAAUUUUCUGGGGAUUAUCGCUCUAAUAAGUAAUGAUAAAUUACGGUUAAUAUUCUUUUUCACUUUUUGUGCAUUUUUACCUUCUUUUAUUUCAACUACAAGUAUAGUUAGCAUAAAUAUUAGAGCAAAUUUGGAUGCUCAGAAUGCAGGAAAUGGCAUUUCCGGGAUUCAAAUUUCAAAAAUUUUCUAGCCGGGAGUACACCCCCACACACGUGACCAUUGCUGUCCUCCUCUAAUAAGUAAUGAUAAAUUAUGGGGGUUUUUUCAGUUACUUUUUGUGCAUUUUUUCCUUUAUUUACUUCAAAUACAAGUAUAGUUAGCAUAAAUUUUGGAGCAAAUUUGGAUGCUCAGAAUGCAGGAAAUGACAUUUCCGGGAUUCAAAUUUCAAAAAUUUUCUGGGGGAGUACACCCCCAGACCCCCCCCCCAAUCAUGCGUGGUAUAUUGGCCACACACAUGGCCUUCAGCCAUUGCUAUCCCCCUCUAAUAAUAUUAUAUCACAGAAAGGUCCUUUUUCAAAAAAUGCCCCCCCCCCGGGAAAAUCCUUAAAAAAGGCCCUGUGGCAAUGUGAAUGAAAAUAUGAAUAUAAAUGAUGUAAAUAAUUAAUAUGAGAAUACAAAUUUACGGUCCUCAACUUUAGUUUUCGAAGUAAUGCCCGGCACACACUAGAGCUAUGUGCUUAGCAAAAUCUCAUUCGUGACUGAUUGCGUAAGAAGAAAAUUCUAGUGUGCGGUGCACUUUUGUAAGUUUUUCGUCACUCGUGACGCGUAAAACAAAUAUCCGACGUGUUGAAUAUUUUUUGUCACGAAUGAAUAUUUCCAGUUUCCACCACGUGUGCGCGCUUGAAAAGCUAUCACCUUUCAUUGUAGAUCGAAUAGGCAUGCGUAAUAACACAUAAGACAAAAGGAAAAUAAUUAAUGAGGAAUAUUCAUGUGUCGCUAUCAAGUAUCACAUUCCUCAUUAAUUAUUAUUUCCUAACUAUGUUUUUUUACGCAUGCCUAUUCGAUCUACAAUGUCG